rnacentral:lncRNA from 13 species
CAUUCAUUCUUCCCCAUCUAUCCAUGUAUCCAUUUAUCCCUCCAUCCCCAUCUAUCCGUCCACUCCCCAUCCUUCCACCCAUCCAUCUAUCCACUCACCCAUCCAUCCACCUAUGCCUCCAACUCAUCUACCAUCCACUACCCAUCCCCACCGAUCCCCCAUCUAUGCAUCCAGCUAUCCAUCCCCUAUCCACCCAUCCAUCCAUUCCCCAGCCAUUUGCUCAUCUGUCCCCCAUUCACCCAUCCACCCAUCCACUUACAGGUGGAUGCAAUCCUGUUGGAUUGGAUUCACCCUGCAUUCAUCUACCAUCCACCCAUCCAUUCCCUAUCCAGCUCCCAUUCAUCCACCCAUCCAUCUGCCCAUCCACCCACCCAUUCAUCAUCCAGCCCCCAUCUAUGCAUUCUUUCAUUCCCCAUCUUGCCCCCACAAACCCACCAUUCAUUCAUUUGUUCUCUUGACAGCUGCCUUCCACGCAUCCCCACCCCACCUACCUGGGCUCAACACAGGAAGUAAAGCAGGACUCCUGUGUACCCGAAGCUCCCAGUGCGCUGGGAGUACGCCCAUGAGACGGAGAGGCCACAUUCACCAUGGACGAGCAGAGGAGGAAGGACACAGGGACAAAGGUGUCACAGAUAAGGAGAUUGAGACCCAAAGGGGCAGUCACUUGCCCAAGGCCAGGUGGCUGUUAGUGUUGCAGUCCAAGUUUGAAGCCAGGGAGCCUGAUCGUGGAACACCUGCUUUCAGCGGAAACUUCUGA